rnacentral:lncRNA from 1 species
GGCUACUCCCCCGGCCCCGGCAGACCUGGGACUGGCCCAGUCGCCCGCUGGGGCCCUUUGCCACUCCCUUGGGAAGGAGAGCCGAGACCUCAGUUCCCGACGGCUCUUGCGGGGCACAGGUGAGCCCUGGCUGCGCGCGCGGCCCCUCCUCCCCGGCGCCUCCCAGAUGGGCAGCAGGAGGCUCCGGAGGUGGCGCCCAGGCUCUGAGCUACCCUAGGACUGCAGACUAGCGGGCAUUGGCCAGAGACAUGGCCCAGCCACUGGCCUUCAUCCUCGAUGUCCCUGAGACCCCAGGGGACCAGGGCCAGGACCUCAGCCCCUAUGAUGAAAGCGAAGUGCACGACUCCUUCCAGCAGCUCAUCCAGGAGCAGAGCCAGUGCACGGCCCAGGAGGGGCUGGAGCUGCAGCAGAGAGAGCGAGAGGUGACAGGAAGUAGCCAGCAGACACUCUGGCGGCCCGAGGGCACCCAGAGCACGGCCACACUGCGCAUCCUGGCCAGCAUG